AACUUCCUGUGUUUGCCACACCUGUGUUCUUUAUACUGAUGUAUAGAAAGAGGAGGCACACAAAACCCAUCUCAUAUAUACCUCAGCCCCAAACCUUUGCCUAGUCAGCAUUACGAAUGGAGGGACAUGG